rnacentral:rRNA from 1 species
ACGGGAGGCAGCAGUGGGGAAUAUUGCACAAUGGGCGCAAGCCUGAUGCAGCGACGCCGCGUGAGCGAAGAAGUAUUUCGGUAUGUAAAGCUCUAUCAGCAGGGAAGAAAAUGACGGUACCUGACUAAGAAGCCCCGGCUAACUACGUGCCAGCAGCCGCGGUAAUACGUAGGGGGCAAGCGUUAUCCGGAUUUACUGGGUGUAAAGGGAGCGUAGACGGCGCUGCAAGUCAGAUGUGAAAGGCUGGGGCUUAACCCCGGGACUGCAUUUGAAACUGCAGUGCUCGAGUGCCGGAGAGGUAAGCGGAAUUCCUAGUGUAGCGGUGAAAUGCGUAGAUAUUAGGAGGAACACCAGUGGCGAAGGCGGCUUACUGGACGGUAACUGACGUUGAGGCUCGAAAGCGUGGGGAGCAAACAGGAUUAGAUACCCUGGUA